UGGAAGUCGUAAACAAGGUAGCCGUACUGGGAAAGUGCGGCUGGAUCACUCCUUUCUAAGAGAAAGAUAAACUAAGGUAAUUCCAUUAACUCUUCCCUACUCUUUUCUUUUGAUAAGAGAGUUUUUAAAACCAGUGUUAUUUAUGUAAGUUUAAGAGAAGUUUAUGUAUUAAAUUAUUGAUAUUAAAUAGUUUUAUUAGGCUUAGACUUAAUUUUAGGUCAUUUUGGGGGUUUAGCUCAGUUGGCUAGAGCAUCGGCUUUGCAAGCCGAGGGUCAAGGGUUCGAGUCCCUUAACCUCCAUUGGGCUUAUGCCCUAAAUUGUAAUUAAGUAUGUUUUUAAGUAACUUUGUUAAAGUAAUUGUUGGAAUGUGAAACACAAGAAGUUAAAAUUUCUGGGUUAAGUUGAGAUCUGUUGAUAUUAAGAAAAAUGUCUAGAAGCAAAAGCAAGCUUUCGAUAAAACCCGAAGUUGUUUCGCUAAAGUGCAAGGAUUAAACAGGAUUGUAUUUUUCAGCAGCCUAUUUUAUAAACGAUCUGCAUUUAGUAAAUAGUUUUUAGUUAGGAAAUAAUGUAGAUUACUAAGUGUG
rnacentral:tRNA from 1 species